AAAAAGAAAAAAAAGAAAAAAGGAAAAGCCCGGAGUGGCGUACGACAAGUCGUUUCUCAUGCCGAGUAGAAACCCUAACCCCUAAAACCCCUAUAAAACUCUCUCUUCCGGCUGCAUUUAGCUCCCGCAAGUACAACUGAUGAAUUUCCCAAUUCAGAUAGCCCCUUGCUGCUUGGAAACAUGGUAGCAGGGAAAUUUCGAGCAAAGGGUUCGGUGCAAGAUUCAACCUUUGGCAUCGGUUGUGCAGUGAAUCCGAGUGAUUUCUCUUGCGUAACUCUGAUUUGCCAGAAAAUACAAGUACCAGAUCUGAAGAAAAUGGCAAAGCAAAAUGAUGAAAUCAGAUUUAUUUUAAUCUGAAUUUGAUGUGGAAUUUCAAAUCAUGCCUUCAAAGUUCUCUGAUUGCUUUGCCAUAUCUUUUAAAGUUUGAGAUUUUAUCUGAAUUUAUGGUUUAAUUCUUGUGUUUUUACUGUUGCAUUUGAUAUUAUAUGUAUAUGGAUUUUAUGAAGCAAAAUGAGGAGAUUUAUAUUGCUGAAUUUGAUGUGGAACAACCUCAUACCAUAUUGGUCUUCAAAGUUCUCUGAUUGCUCAUGUUGCUAUGUUAUGUCGAGUUUUCGAUGAAUUUACUAGUGUUACUUGUGAUCCUGUUUUCUGGAGCCCAACAAUUCCCUAUAAACGUGACCCUUCUGAUUGAAUUUGUAUGAAUUAGUUGAAGCUGUUUAAUCUUGGCUUAUUUCUACUGUUUAAUUUUUAUAUUGGUGGCUGAUGAGACGAGUUGAAGCGCGAAUGUGAGCACCAAAAUUUGCAGUCUGUUAUGCAUUUGUAUUGCAGACUGUCGAGCAUGGUGCGAUACUGAAGGUAUCUCUUUGUUUUUUCAUUGCAAACGUCUCUUGUAUUUUUUUGUAUGACAGCUGAAGCAAAGCUAGGGAUACAACAUGUUGGCAUUAUGUCGAGCAAUAUGCAUCAAAACAACAUUACAAGCUUGAGCAAAGUAAGCGAACAAUUUGCCAACAGAUUGCAAAGAAAAAGGAUUCCGGUUCCAAGCUGGCUAAAGUUGUUAAUCCUUUAUGUAAGGUUUUAGUAGAUACGAUUUCAUAAGGCUGAACAUCUUUGUACAUGAAUUUUGGAAUAUCAAUCUGUUGUUAAAUGUUAUGAAAUCCUGGAAGUUUUACUUUUGAUGCCAA